rnacentral:rRNA from 1 species
GUAUUUUCUGCCCGGUGAUCUUAAACGGCCGCGGUACUCUGACCGUGCAAAGGUAGNNNNAUCACUUGCCCUUUAAUUGGGGGCUAGAAUGAAGGAAAUCACGAGACUUUAGCUGUCUCUUUUUUUUGUUUGGAAUUUGCUGUUUUUGUGAAGAAGCAAAAGUUAUAAAAAAAGACAAGAAGACCCUAUUAAGCUUUAUUUAUUAGAUUGUAAACUUUUAUUUUUAAAGAUAUUAUUAUAGUCUAUUAAUUUGGUUGGGGUGACCAAAAAAGAUAAAAAUCUUUUUUUUUCAGAUAAAACAGUUUGUUUUAAAAAGAUCCGGAAAUUUUCCGAUUACAAGAAUAAGUUACUAUAGGGAUAACAGCGUAAUUUUUUCAGAGAGUUCAUAUUUAAGAAAAAGAUUGCGACCUCGAUGUUGACUUAUUGUUUCCUAAAAAGGUGUAGCAGCUAAAAAGGUUGGUCUGUUCGACCAUUAAAACAAU